rnacentral:rRNA from 1 species
UACGAAGGGUGCAAGCGUUGUUCGGAUUUAUUGGGCGUAAAGCGCGCGCAGGCGGAUUUAUAAGUCAGAUGUGAAAUCUCGGGGCUUAACCUCGAAAUUGCGUCUGAAACUGUUGAUCUAGAAUACCGGAGAGGGAAGGGGAAUAUCUCAUGUAGGGGUAAAAUCCGUAGAGAUGAGAUAGAACACCGGAGGCGAAGGCGCCUUCCUAGACGGUUAUUGACGCUGAGGCGCGAAAGCGUGGGGAGCAAACAGG